CAGGGUACCCUUUGACACUCCUUAGUUCAAACAAAUGAACUAGUUUUUAAAAAAAAAUUAUGUCAUUUUGAAAUUUUAGUUCAUUUGGUUGAACUAAAGAGGGUCAAAAGGUACCCUG
rfam:Brachypodium distachyon strain Bd21 chromosome 1, whole genome shotgun sequence.